UGUCUGUUAUUGCAGACUAGCAUGAACGGCAAAAUGAGGGCUAACUGUCUCUUAUAGUAAAUCAAUUAAACUGAUCUCCCAGUAAAAAAGCUAGGAUAUACACAUAAGACCAGAAGACCCUGUGAAGCUUAAACUAAACUAUUAAACCCAUUAAUACCUACUUUCGGUUGGGGCGACCUUGGAAAAAAAAAGAACUUCCAAACUAAACAAUACACCACCACAGGCCUACAAGCCAAUUAACGACCCAGCACCGCUGAUAAUUGAACCAAGUUACUCCAGGGAUAACAGCGCCAUCCUCUUCAAGAGCCCAUAUCAAAAAGAGGGUUUACGACCUCGAUGUUGGAUCAGGACAUCCUGA
rnacentral:rRNA from 1 species